GCGCCCGUAGCUCAGAUGGAUAGAGCACGUGCCUCCGGAGCACGGGGUCGGGGGUUCGAACCCCUCCGGGCGCGCCA
rnacentral:tRNA from 1 species